AUUGUUUCUCUAUUAAAAAUAUUAUGCCAAUUAUUAUUCUGUAUUUUAUCGAUCGUCAUCUCAAAUAAAUUUUUUUUAAAAAAAAAGAAAUUACAAAUUAAGUUAUAAAACAUCUCUAGGACUCUGUUUGGAUAUGAGAAUAAGUUAUUUAAGGAUAAUUUAUUCCGUAUAAGUCUUUUCUAGUGUAAUUGUCACCAUGCAGUUUGAUAUCUAUUUCUUUAAAAAUUCUUACUAUUCAUGCUUUGGUAAAAUAACAUAUUUCACUUACGAAUUAAUUAUUUUAUUAUGAAAAAAUAAAUUAAAGAUUGAAUAUGAUAUCUCACUCUAAAUAUUUGAUCACAUGCACUUUGUAUCUACCAAAUCUACAAAUUUCUCAAAUAAGUCGAGAAUAUUACUGAACAAUUUUUUUUUUUUUUUGAGAAAUAGGUAGCACGCUACCCGCUUCGUUUAUUUCAUUUAGAAAUAAACUUAGCUGGAAAUGUGAAUCAACUAGGAUUCGAACUUGGGUCUGGGGUACCAACCACCAAACCCUUUGCCACUUGCUCUAGGGACAGUUGGUCUGAACAAAAUAUUAAAUGCAUCCAAACAGGUACUACAGUU
rnacentral:lncRNA from 1 species